rnacentral:rRNA from 1 species
AAUGAACGUUGGCGGCGUGGAUUAGGCAUGCAAGUCGAGCGAGAAGCUUUUGAAAGAUACUUCGGUUGAUUUCUUAAGUGGACAGCGGCGAAAGGGAGAGUAACGAGUAGAUACGUACCCGAGGGUCCGGGAUAGCUGCGGGAAACUGCAGGUAAUACCGGAUAAUGUUUCCGAACCAAAGAUUUAUUGCCCUCGGAGCGGUUUGCUUACUAUUAGCUUGUUGGUGGGUAAAGGCCUACCAAGGCGAAGAUGGUUAGCGGGUGUGAGAGCAUGGCCCGUCUCACUGGGACUGAGACACUGCCCAGACACCUACGGGUGGCUGCAGUCGAGAAUCUUCCGCAAUGGACGAAAGUCUGACGGAGCGACGCCGCGUGCGGGAUGAAGGCCUUCGGGUUGUAAACCGCUGUCAGAGGGGAGCAAAUUUUGAGCAAUCCUCAGAGGAAGCACAGGCUAAGUUCGUG